GCCUUUUCUUCUUAUAUACUAUUCCUCCAUGGCAAUAGAUCAUCACAUGAGGCCUAUCCUUAAUUGGGACCUCCAGAUAUUAAUUUUGGUAACCCAAAUGAGAUUAGCACUGAUAACAGUAUCAAAGAUCAUGCACUCAAACCAACUAGGAGUAGAGCUACACUAAAAUCAGUUACUUUGGUAAUUCAUUGAAAUGCUAGCUCAUAAGCAGACAGUAAUAACUAAUAAGACUCAUGGUAAGACAAUCAGAAAGAAUAGCACAUUCACCAAGAGACUAGUGCUAUCAUUGCUACAAUGAUCAAGGUGAUAUUCUUGUAAUAGAUUGAGUAAUAAAUAUCUAGGAAUUGCAACCAAGAGAAUGGAAGUUUGACAAAAAAGAGUAGGCAUUUCAUUGAACAUGCUAAAGCCUUUUUGUAUCCAAUUAUUGCAUCACAAAUAAGUAAAAGCCUUUUUGUUAUUAUU
rnacentral:misc_RNA from 1 species